CAUUAAAUGUGAGGCAGGAGACCUCCUCAGCCCCAGACCUUAACAAAGGUCUCUCCCUCUCUAACCACUUUCAAUGCAGAACAGGCUGAUGGACAGACGUGAGGACACUUGCUGUGGAACUAGAACGCCUCCUGGGAGCCCAGGGAUGGGGAACUGACCUGAGUCUUUGAAGCUCACAAUACUAGAGCCUCUUGGUCGGACUAGAACAUUCUAGCCAUGGUAGCUGGCAGGACAGGAGCACGAGCUUGUCAGAAACAGGCGUUCGACUGACAAGCCCAGCUCAAGCCAAGCUGGCCGGGCAGUCCUCCUGAACCAGUUGCCCUGAGCAAAUGCGGCAGAAUCUUCAGCCAAGUGUCCACCCUGUACUCACAGAACCAGAACUUCCUCCUCCUCCGCCCGGAUUCGGCCAAUAUCCGCGACUGAAGUGGAGACACCUGAAGGCACACUUUUCUGAGUGCCUCGGUACAGACACUGAAGCCGCAGCCCACCCAGGGGGUGCUGUCCCGGACCCCACGGGCCAGUGGCAGG